rnacentral:rRNA from 1 species
GAUGAACGCUGGCGGCGUGCCUAAUACAUGCAAGUCGAGCGAACAGACGAGGAGCUUGCUCCUCUGACGUUAGCGGCGGACGGGUGAGUAACACGUGGAUAACCUACCUAUAAGACUGGGAUAACUUCGUGAAACCGGAGCUAAUACCGGAUAAUAUAUUGAACCGCAUGGUUCAAUAGUGAAAGACGGUUUUGCUGUCACUUAUAGAUUGAUCCGCGCCGCAUUAGCUAGUUGGUAAGGUAACGGCUUACCAAGGCAACGAUGCGUAGCCGACCUGAGAGGGUGAUCGGCCACACUGGAACUGAGACACGGUCCAGACUCCUACGGGAGGCAGCAGUAGGGAAUCUUCCGCAAUGGGCGAAAGCUUGACGGAGCAACGCCGCGUGAGUGAUGAAGGUCUUCGGAUCGUAAAACUCUGUUAUUAGGGAAGAACAAAUGUGUAAGUAACUAUGCACGUCUUGACGGUACCUAAUCAGAAAGCCACGGCUAACUACGUG